CAUAGUCAAUUCAGAUUAGUCAUCCCAACAUUAUUCAUCUAAUCACUGUUUCAUAUCGACGGCUAAACUUGUAGAUUGGCUGCCUUACAUUAGUUGA